rnacentral:rRNA from 1 species
AACGAACGCUGGCGGCGCGCCUAAUACAUGCAAGUCGAGCGAGAAGGUGUAGCAAUACACUUGUAAAGCGGCGAACGGGUGAGGAAUACAUGGGUAACCUACCCUCGAGUGGGGAAUAACUAGCCGAAAGGUUAGCUAAUACCGCGUACGCUUCCGGAACUGCGGUUCCGGAAGGAAAGCGAUACUGUGAGUAUCGCGCUCUUGGAUGGGCUCAUGUCCUAUCAGCUUGUUGGUGAGGUAACGGCUCACCAAGGCUUCGACGGGUAGCUGGUCUGAGAGGACGAUCAGCCACACUGGCACUGCGACACGGGCCAGACUCCUACGGGAGGCAGCAGUAAGGAAUAUUGCGCAAUGGACGACAGUCUGACGCAGCGACGCCGCGUGGGGGGACGAAGGGUCUUC